CGGAAAGAUGGGCGUCGCCUACCGAAGUGCAUUGCUGGGUAUCUGAGCAGCCUCCCCGGAAAUGGUGUCUUAGCCACUGCAACCAUCCAGCAGUUUCCUACGAGGCGGCGAGGAUUCCGGGGCUUCGGAAUCCUCAAACACGGCGUCAACGCCUUCCACGUUCCUCCCUGGAAGCAGCCGCACGCUACUCUGGCGAAUUUCAGCAGGAAAGGGAUUUACCCCAAGGACGUCGGCAAACCCGCAGAGCCGGAAGUUGGGACGGUGGCUGCCGGGGGCUGGAGGGACGGGGAGUGGGUGGGUCGGAUGAAGACGGAAUCCCACAAAGCCACAUCUCUGCAGCCCAUCCUCUAACGGUGGCUGACGUGCAGCCCUGAAGGCCACGGACGAGACAGCUCAGUGCAAUUACUGUAACAGCACCCUCGACACACGCACUCCUCGCGUGGGACAGAUGUGGAAACCCCGGCUCGGAGAUAUCGUGCAGCCAGCUCGAGGAUCACGGGUUCAUUCUCGAGCAGAAUUUUGACCCAGGCUGUCUCUUUCAGGAACCUGCAAAAUAGAGUGUGUGCACGCAAGUGUGCGUGGGUGUGCGUACUUUUGGGUGCACAGACAUGGGGGUCUCUCGGGGGUACCCGGACCCAUCCGCAACAACACCGUCGCGGACGUGCUUUGGAAUUUAAAGCACAAGUUGACGGAUAUCCGCACACAUUGAGGUGAGAGUUUCAUUUCACCAGACUUUUCUUCGAGAGAUUUUCCCAUUACAUGAUGUCUACAUUCAUAGGUGCCUGGGUGAAUGCGGCGGCCGGACAGAACAGAACCAGAGCAGGACGGUGUAACGCAGAGCUCAUGGAAGUAACUGGAGGCAGCAAGGUGUAGGGGUCAAGACCUUGAAUCCCGGAACCAGCCCCGGGGCUCAAACCCCCAUCUCCCACGCAUCAGCCACGAGAUGUGGGCCAACGGCUUAAUCUCAUGGUGCCUCCGUGUCCCCAUCCACACGGUGGGAAUAAUAAUCAUAUUAGCGAUGUCAUAGGGUUGUUCUGAGAGUUAACAAAGUGACCUAAGUCCUUUUGUGUAAUCCAAAUAGCUCCGAGACCCUACAUUUGACAGUAAGUAACGAGGCUACUUGUAGUUUUAUGGAAUAUUACCGCGUGGAGUUGGAUAUUGCUGUUACAGAGGUUACCCCAGUUUCAAAACACAUCUAAGGAGUUGGGGUAAGGAGUCGGGGAACCAUCCAAGCACAGCCCUCCACACACAGCGAAUGCUAUGUCAAUGCUGCUAUAGUUGACUCGUGCGAAAAUCCAGAAAUACAGAGAGCACGUAGACCUAGAGAGAUUUAAACACACACACACACACACACACACCACACACACACACUCA
rnacentral:lncRNA from 1 species